GUGCAAGGAGGGAAAGUUAUUUUUUUAUUAUAAGAUCAAAUGGGCUUGAGCCCAAAGACAAAGGGUGCGACUUAGCGAAAACAGGGGUGCUAGAGAAGAAUAGUUUUUUUGUUGGUUUUGGCCCAGCAGCCCAGGGUUUGGCUAUUCCCAUUCAGAAACCUUAGGGGUCUGCCUCCCUUCAUCCCAAAUCACACGAGACCUAGGGUAUCUCCUUCUCUCUGAGCACAAGCCACCCCAUCCCCCACGAUCACCAACCCAGCCGCCGUGAGUGACAGCCACGAGCCACCCUUACUCCGUCCAAGGCGUCGCCGGCGACUAUCGCCAGCCACAAGCCACCCGCUCUCUCGCACUAGCCUAGGGUUACGCAACCGCAUCACCACUUCUUCAAAUCCAACCACCGCGCCACCACCUUCUUUGGUUGCGUCGUUGCCGUUGACGGUAGGUGCCACCAGAAUCACGGUCGACCACGAUAUCUUCUCCCCCUCUCUCCCUCGCACUAGGCUAGAGGCUCCGCUUCGAGCGAGCCCAGUCGCCUGAGACGCAAGCCACAGCGCCACCAACACCAAAGGUUACAACCACUGUGAGUUACCAGCAAGGAAAACCCUUUUCUCCUCUUCGUAAUCGGAGUCACUGCCACCAAAGGGCCGCAAUUUUGACUCACGCACCCUGCGGAUUGGGGGAAGUCCCAAACAUAAAUGGAAUCGAGAUUGUGUGAGGGAUUUUCUGAUUUUGCUUAGUUUCCUCCCUAUGUCCAUGGCUUUGCGUUGUUUUUGUUUUCUAUUGUAGGAGAAGGAGAAACAAGGGCGAAUGGGAAAUGUAGUGAAGAUAGGUUGGGGUAAUGAGGCGCGGUGUUGAGCCAAAAGGGGAUCCUAGUGUCAAUGCAGCUAUGGUGAGGGAGUUUGGGCUGAAAUAUUGGUUGUUCUUUGUUUUGCAGGGAAAUGGUGUGUAGUAGAAAUCAAGGUUGGUGGGGUUUCGGUUGGGCCAUUUCGGCUUUGGUAAUGGAAAUAGGGAAAUGAAGAGAAUGAGGGUUGCUCUGUGCGUUGUGAAAGCGAGAUUGUGGAAGCAGCUGUGUUGACGAAGGUUGGGCGUACUGAGGGGCUGUUGAUUGUGUCCUUCGAAUGCUUGGGUUUCCGUUAUGGUGAUUGGGCUUGUUGAAAAUGAGUGAAUGUCAUGCGUGUGUACGUGAGUGUGGUUUGAGAGUGAUAAUUGACGAAAAAAUGAGUGGGAAACUAGAAUACAGAACCAGACCAAGUAACAUCCCAACAUAAUUACAUCUUUAACCCAAACAAUAGCAGACAAACCAAGCCAAGCAGUAUCAAACGAAAGGUAACCCGGUCAAAAUACCAAUAUCCAGGAUUGUAAACAUCCAUGCUUGUGAGCAGUGAAGCUUGAAGAAUGAGGGCUUACUUUUUAUGUCGGCAGUGAAGCUCCACUUCUUUUCCUUUUCUUUGUGGUAUUGGGCACCAAGCUCUGGCAGUGAUAGUGACUGAUAUGGUGAGGAUGAACCGAUAGGUGGGAGCUAGCAGAUCAAGUUAAAGUUGGGUGGGAGAGAAAAAUGGUUGUUCUGGUGAUUCUGCUGAGUGAGUAAAUUGGAGAAGAGAAUCCUCUCAAGGGUGAUGGAUGUGUGAGAGACAAUGGUGUUGCCUCUUGUUGCUGGAACCCUCUUUUUCUGGUUCAGGUCUGUGAUGGUUUUUUUUGCUUUUUUGUGUAUGUGAAUGGAGGAAAAUUGAUUUUGUUCAGUAGAGAGUGAUUAGAGCCGUUGAGAGCUCUGUGUGAGGUGAAUCAUGGAUGCUCUUGGAGGUUCCCCCUCCGCUUUCUGUAUGAUCAGUGCGCAUGCCUUAAAGAUUUUUUUUUGCUUUUUUUUGUCUUUUUUUUUUUCUCUUUUUAUGUUUCAAUUGAACGAAUUGGUCAAAGCAAAUCAAAGAUCCUUUACCCAUUUGAUGUAUGAUCAUAGCUCUGUAGAAUGCAUUUUGAGCAAGAGAACCGAACACCUUUCUCA